UAUGUCCUAGCCACUGGGUGCAAGUUCAACGCACGUAAAUAUAUGUUCCGAGUUGCACUAAAAGAUUCACCCUACUUUUUAAUAGAAGAGUUCUCCCGAAUAUACUAUCGAGACGUCGUUUCUUACCAAAUUUAUCCAGCUUCCCAAAAAAGAAUUGGUCUGCUUCGCGUGGAACAAGACAUAGUUUUUAAUGAUCAAGUACAACCGAUUUGUCUGCCAACGGUGGAUGACCUGGAAACUGCUACCUCCGACCAAUUGAUGAUCUACACUUUUAAAACAUCACCAAUCUAGGAAAAAAUAACGAUUUCAAGCCUGAGUCCAGCUGAGUGUAAAACAGAAUGUGAAUUUUAUUACCAGAUUGGGCAUCUCGUUGUUUCAACGGACAGUGCAAAUGUUGUUUGUCUGGGAAACAUUUCUUCUUACAAUGGAAGAUCUCUUGUUGGAUUCCAUUCCCGAAGAAAUGGAGUUCAACAGUUUGUUCUACUUGGAGGCAUAAUGUACUGCGAUGAAAAUAGUUUGUUCUUAAAAUUUAGCUUUGAAAAUCAAAUCAAA